ACUCCGAGCCCCGGGAGGAGACAACGCCCGGAGAGGGCGGAGGGGGCGGGGGGAGGCAGCUUGGCUGCGGGGGAACCCCUCGCCCCUGAGGGAUGCUCGGCCGGCGAGUGCCGCAGGGCAGGACCGGGGCUCUCGAAUAAACUGCGGAAGGCUGAAAGAAAAAGCUUACGAGAGGUUAUACAAACCGAGAGGGAGAGACGGCUGCCUUCACACGUAAUUCCCAGAGCAGGGAAGAGAGUGGGUGUCUGCCAAGAGGGGAAUCACCUCGGCGACAGGACAGGGGAGUCCUGUCACCUGCAGCGAGGGGGAACCCCUCAGGGAGGGUCAGAGCAGCCUUAAGGGCGGCGGGAAAGCCCCGAACGUGAGGAUUCUUUACAGCUUUCAGGACUGUCUCUGCAAAUAUAGUACUUAUUUUUGUGAGCAUGAAAAGUGCAUAUUCCAAAAGAUUUUUAUCUGCAUCACCAGAUGAAACUGAAUGUUACCUUUAUGCAAAGAGAAAUAAAGUAGAAAGUGAUCCAAAAAUCAGAGAGAAAGUGGAGCAGCAAAAGCUAGAACAAAGCAUACACUCUGGGAGCAAGGACCAAACAUCACCACGUGAACUCCUCUGUUUGUCAGAAAGACAAAACAACUGGGCAUUAGAAGAACAGAGUUGUGAUACAGCAAGAAAAACUUGUAUGAUGGAGUUUUUCUGUUCUGAAACUUGUAGUAAUGAAGGAUUAGCAUGUAGAGUAUCAGAAAAUGAAGCAUUCACCAAAAAACGGAGUCCUGCAAAUGAAGACCAAAGUCCUACAGAAGACGACAUGUCCCCGAAUGUAGGUGGACAGCCCCUGGCAACAGAGCUGCUCAAUGUGUCGAGCACUGCUGACACAUGUCAAAAUCUACUGGUACAAAACCCAUCCCAAGUGCAGCAGAACAACAGUAUAGAACAAAAUAAUAAAAGAAACGAGGAUAAUGAGCUCAAACAAAAUUCUUCAGUUACAUCAUUAAACAGACACAUGUUGCAGGCGGAAUUGUUAAGUCAAAAGUCUGCCUCCAAUAAAAAGUGGCAGCGCUACCAGCUUUUUCAAAUUCCAUUUUUGAGUGGAACAAGUUCUGUGUUUUCAUGCGUAGAAAAUAAAAAAAGUAAAUUUCUGAAAAAUAUAUGUUUUGCAGAAGAUGAAAAUUAUCUUAGCACUAAGGAAACUACUGCAGAAAAAGACAAUAAAGAGAAAAAUAAUUCAAUGUCUAUAAUUCAAACAUUAAAACCUCUUAAGAGUAUACAACCAUUGGAAAUCCCUAAUUUUCAAUUUCCUAGGAUUUCAAAUAAAAUAAAUAUUAAACAAUCAUCAGCUAACUUUAGGGAAACAGACUGGAAGAAUUUUGAAGGUGAACCGUCUUUAAUGCAAUCUAAACAGAUACAUGGUGUGCAAAAAAUAUCUGAGAUAGGGAAACAAAGAAUGCAAAAUGAUAAAAGCAGUGUAAGAGCUCCAAUUGUUGGUUCUGAAUUUAAAGGAAAAAAUUCCCCCUCAGUUAACAAACAGGAACACAGCACUUUGGCAGAAGGAGAAGUAUCUGGAACUUAUUUCAGAUGCAACAGCACUGACACUGAAUGUAAUAAUAUAUUUGCUGAAAAUGACUUCAAAGAUAAAAUAAUGGAGAAUUCAGAGAGUGAUGAUGACCAGAAGUCAAAGAUUCGCAUUUACAUUAGUGCUAAAAAUGUUCAGAAUGAGAAAUAUGUCAACUCUAAUGAUCUUUUGCAAAGAAGGGGGAGGAAGAGCACUAAUGAGAGUAUGGGAAUGUUUCAUAUGCAGAUGAGUAUUCCAGUAACAACAGAAGCAUUAGAGAAAAAUAAGUUAAACGUACACUGUGGUGUGCAUAAUUCCAACAGGGAUAUUUGUUUGUAUGAAGCAGAAUCAAAACUCUCCACAAAGAAAAUACUUGAUUUCCAAAGUUAUGUAACAAAAAAUAUUACAUUUAAAAGUAAUUGUCCUUGCUUUAUUGUGCAGGAUUUUCCACAUAAGAGAGCAAGUUGCAACCUAUUUAUGGGGAAGGAAAUGCUCAAAUUAAAGUUUUCAUUUCAAAGCAUGUUGUGUGGAUGGGUCAGGGUGUGGACUGAGUCUUUCCAUGAAGACAUGCCCACGUGUCAGGAUGACAGUGUUACACCUUGGUCUCAUUGCCGUGGCACAUUAAAAGAGCAGUGUGAUGCUCAAGAGUUGGUAAAGAGCACUAUAAAUAGGAACCACAAUGAUAAAAUAUUCAUGUGUUUGCUGGCUGUUGUUUCAAAGCAUCUGAAGGUGGAGGUACUAAAGAAAAUGCUUGCUUCCUUUUUCAGUAGCACAAAUACUUUAUUGACAACUGAGGGGAAGUCUGUGCAAGAAGAGAAACAGUCUUUGUGUGGCAGAAAGCAAAAUCAGUUAAACUCAUGCACAGAUGAUUCUUUGAGGCAAAGCACAGGAUUUCUUAAAGAAAAUGAAACUUACCCAGGAUUUGUAAGUUCUAAAUUUCUGGAAAGCAUUGAUUUUCAGUUGCAUAAUGCAUAUCAGAGAAGAUGCUUUUAUAGAACUUUAGGUGAAGAAGAGUACACUUUCCUUCAAAGAAGAGCUCCCUUUCGUAACCAAAAAAGCAGAUUAUGUAAGGGAAGACAUGUCAGGAAACACCACCUCUUAUCCAGAGUGAGUGAAGGGUUUAGCACUGAUUUGAGGUCAGUCAGUCACAAAAACAGUAUGAAAAAGCAAAUUUUACCUGCUAAAUACGUUAUCUUGCUGCAAGGCUCUUCUGAUAGUUCUUCACUACACAAGAUCUAUUGCUGCAAUAUCACAAAAGUACAGUAUCUGAUAGGAGCCAAUCUUGGAUACCAGAGUUACUUUCCUGCUGCUUCACAAACAAAAUUUGAAAAGGUACAUAAGAAAAGUACAAAUCAGGAAAUAUCAGUAAGUACUCUGAAGCAGGAGAAGAACAAACCAAGCAUAAGGCUUAACAGUUCUUUUCAUGUAGAAUUAUUUAAAGCUAUCCCUUUUGUUUUAUAUGAAAAUAAGAAACACAAAACAACUGGAUAUAGAAAUGGCAUAACUUUUACAAAUGAAUUCACUAAUGAAAUAACAUCUAUUAUGAAAAAAUAUUUGGGUAACUCUAGUUAUAGAAAUGCUGAUGAAAAAGAUUGUGUUAAUCCAAAAGAGUUGCAAAUGAAUUGUGAUGAUUGUCUUUAUAAAAAAUCUCUUUCUAUUUUUGACACAUAUGAAAAAAUUCCCCUAGCCACUGAUUCUGAAGACUUUGACCAGAUCCCACUUGUAAAGCAAGACAAUUCUAUCCAAAAAAAGUUGUGUGAAGAAAGUGCAGUCACUGGUUCAAAAGAAAUUCAAUGUUUGCCUGUUAAAUCAAAUGAUGUUUUAAUUCUAUCUGAACAGCCAAAAGAAACCACAGAAGAAUAUAAUUCUCUCCUGUUGCUAGAAAGACAAAUAAACAAACAUGAGAAUUGCAAAGACUUAGAGAGUUGUAGCCCAAAUCUAGCAAAUAAAAAAGUAGACAACAAAAAUACUUAUUUAUUUCCUGAAAAUUUAUUUCCUAGUUCCUCAAAUAUUUAUCAGCCUGUCACUUUGCCACAGGAUAGCAGCUCUUUUGUCAACAGAGAAAUAAGUGAAGGUGGGCACUGCAGGAAUUCCUCAAGUGCAGACGAACAAAAGGCAAGUGAAACAAUUCCUGCCAUGGUACAGUAUCUAUCCCCGGGCAGUCCUGCCAGGACAGAUACAUACUUGCAAUCACAGGCUAAAGAAACUGCACAGUUUUCUUUACAAGGCCAGGAACACACGAUUAAGACAGGCAGUUCAGAGCCAGCAACUUUGAAACAACAUCUUGAAUAUGUAAAAGAACAGGAAGAGAGAAAUUAUGAACAAAUGCAUAUAACUGAUGAAAGUCAAUGUGAGACUGUAAUGAAUUACUUGAUUAUGUCAUAUUCAGAGGAUAAACCUAAAACAUUCAUUGCUGCAGAAGAGGAAUUAAAAAUGCCUUUAUCCAUAAUGAACAAUGGACAUCUUGAAGAUGUAAAAGAUAAGUAUUUACCCUUAGAAAAUAAAUUCACAUAUGAAUUUGAACUGAAGAGAAAAUUUGAUUUAGUGCUAGAAGAGCUACGUAUGUUUCAUGAAAUUAGCAAAGAAAAUGUAAACAAUUUAUCUAGUUUGGAAACAAACUUGCCUAACACUUACAGCCAAUUAAAUAAUGCUGAGGGAAUAGAUGAAAACACAGCAAGGGAUUCUCAAAGGAAAAUACGUAUUUCUUCUCCAAUCUGUGGUACCACAAAAGACAGACACAUAACUGAUACUAAUGAAAGUUCAUUUCAUGAAAAGAUAUUAGUUGAAAAUGAAGACCAGAAAGUAUCUGAGGAAUAUUCUACUUCAAAAAUGUCAAGCAAAGAAUUGCUGCACUCUCCUGCAGAAGGUGCAGCCUAUAGAAAUCCAUACACGUGGGAUCCAGCUUUUUUACCCGGCACACUUUUUAAGGAACAAAGCCAUAAUUUACAGAAAGAAGGAGUGAGUAUUAUUUCAUACAAAACAGAACAACUUCUAAAGGAUGACUGAUUCUACACUGAUCAGUGCUAGAGAUCACUACAUGGUGCAUACCUUACCUAAUAGAUUGUGGAACAGAAAACAGACAUCCUCCUACCCUGCUUGAUGUAAAAUGAGUGGCACAGGGCAAGACAUCAGACUAAUUGAUACUUUUUGUCUCGUGACGUCAUAAGAGUACAACCUCUUAAAACAUGCAAGGGCCCCAUCAGGAUUGGGCUGUCAAGAAAGGCUCGGCCAAAGAAGCUUCAUCCUUAUCUGAAAUGACUUCCUGGGUUCUUUUACCAGCCUUCACAUCUGGGAUCACUCUGCUUGAAAACUGUUGAAAUGUUUUAAUGUUAAUUUUUUUAGAUACUUUGAUCUUUGUGGUUUAAGGGAGUUCUAGAUAUUAAUAUUUCAGUAUUUGCUAGUGAUUUAUUUAGGAAUACUCCUGUGAAUACUAGAUAGCAAAGGGAUUUAUAAUGAAUGUUUACUAGUAGAAGUUUUAAUGGAAGGGUGAAUUCCUUUUAAAGUUUAUGUAAUAUUAAUAAAAUCUGUCAUGUAUUUUUCAUCUAUUAAAAUAUACAGUUGAAAUUUUCUGUCACA